rnacentral:rRNA from 1 species
GAUGAACGCUGGCGGCGUGCCUAAUACAUGCAAGUCGAGCGAACAGACGAGGAGCUUGCUCCUCUGACGUUAGCGGCGGACGGGUGAGUAACACGUGGAUAACCUACCUAUAAGACUGGGAUAACUUCGGGAAACCGGAGCUAAUACCGGAUAAUAUAUUGAACCGCAUGGUUCAAUAGUGAAAGACGGUUUUGCUGUCACUUAUAGAUGGAUCCGCGCCGCAUUAGCGAGUUGGUAAGGUAGUGGCGUACCAAGGCAACGAGGCGUAGCCGACUUGAGAGGGUGAGCGGCCACACUGGAACUGAGACACGGUCCAGACGCCUACGGGAGGCAGCAGUAGGGAAUCGUCCGCAAUGGGCGAAAGCGUGACGGAGCAACGCCGCGUGGGUGAUGAAGGUCUUCGGAUCGUAGAGCUCUGUUAUUAGGGAAGAACAAAUGUGGAAGUAACUAUGCACGUCGUGACGGUACCUAGUCAGAAAGCCACGGCUAACUACGUG